rnacentral:rRNA from 1 species
UACGGAGGGUGCGAGCGUUAAUCGGAAUUACUGGGCGUAAAGCGCGCGUAGGCGGCUUCGUCAGUCAGAUGUGAAAGCCCAGGGCUUAACCUUGGAAUUGCAUUUGAUACUGCGAAGCUAGAGUAUGGUAGAGGGGAGUGGAAUUUCCGGUGUAGCGGUGAAAUGCGUAGAUAUCGGAAGGAACACCAGUGGCGAAGGCGACUCCCUGGGCCAAUACUGACGCUGAGGUGCGAAAGCGUGGGGAGCAAACAGG